AUGGAAGAAGUUCAGCUUCAACCAGGCGAAAGCGGAAUAUACUCGGUACACGCAGCAAAAAUUGACAACGAACGGACCAGAAAAUACGAACUGGAGCCCUACAUACUACCAGGGGUAAAAAUAGACAAGGACGAGAACAUAAAAAUGGCAUCAGACAAGCAGUUCCUAAUCAACAUAACUAACUUAACGAACGGCCCAAAAAAACUGCAAAAAGGAUUACCGGUUGGUAAAAUAAUUGCCCGGGAACAAGGUGACGCGAAAGUACCAAAAAUUUCAGUAAACCUAGUGGAAAACCCAGUGACGGAGUCAGAAAUCAAAACGCGAAUAAUACUAGCCGGGGAUCACCACCUGAACCAGGCAAGGGUCGAACUCAAAAAAACCCUAGAACAACACGCGCAAAUAGAAAUAUUCUGCCCGGAAAACGGAGAAAUGAAUAGAGUCAUGGACGAACUGAAUCAUGUCGCGCCAUCACGUGACACAAAAACUAUAAUAAUAGUAAUAGCUGGAAACGAAGACUUCAAUCGAAGAUAUUGCCUUCAAAGCCACUCGGCAAUCGCCAAUGACCUACCCUUAGGCAGAAUCAGGGAACUGACACAGGAGUUUCACGUAGCCUACACAACACUGCUGCCACGAUAUGACAUAAACAGGCUAAAUGAAAAAAUUGCCUUAGUGAACGCUGACAUCAUCGGACAACUUAUGCCAGGAAAAGCGCUUACCAAGAUCAACCUGUCAACCGAAAAUCUACCAAAAACAGCGUUCCGAGCAAACGGAAUUGAUUUGAACAACAAGGGAGCUGAAAUACUAGCGGACUUAAUCGAGAGCCACGUCAGGAACAUAAUCGAAAACAAAACGGAAUCCGGAAUCGUGAGUGCCAUUGAAAAUGGAACGCAAAAGAAAUUAAACCUGAAACGGCCUCUCCGAGUAACGGGACUCAUUAAUUUCAAAGAAGUACCCAUAAUGUGUGACACUGGCUCAUCAGUAAAUUUGGUGAAGCCGAGCCUAGUAAAUCCAGACGAAAUCAGACCAGUGAAAAACUUUCAGCUUUUAACGGCAUCAUCGGAAAAGUUCCAACCGGAAGGAGAGUGCACACUAACAGUAGAACUCGGACAGGAGAAACUGCAAAUAACUUGCUUCGUCACCGACAAAAUUCCGGUUCCGAUCAUCCUUGGUAUACCCUUCAUGAUGUUUUACAAUAGUCUAAUAUGUUUCGACACGCAAAAAGUAACUCUGCGGAAAAAUGUGAGCCGACCCAUCGAACUAACAUUCACGCAGGAGGCCGAAACCGAAGAAAACCCUUUUGCAGCGAUGAAUUUAGUCGGUUUAUGCGCCACAUACGAAGGACCGAGCAAAGUAAAGUUAGCAUACCCGAUCAAACUGGACCCAGGAGAGGAAAAAAGCGCUCAAGUGUACUACUCCAAAGGGAACCGGAGAGCAAAUUUCAAAUAG
rnacentral:lncRNA from 1 species